rnacentral:rRNA from 1 species
UACGAAGGGGGCUAGCGUUGCUCGGAAUUACUGGGCGUAAAGCGCACGUAGGCGGCUUCUUAAGUCGGUGGUGAAAUCCUGGAGCUCAACUCCAGAACUGCCUUUGAUACUGGCGAGCUUGAGUUCGGGAGAGGUGAGUGGAACUGCGAGUGUAGAGGUGAAAUUCGUAGAUAUUCGCAAGAACACCAGUGGCGAAGGCGGCUCACUGGCCCGGUACUGACGCUGAGGUGCGAAAGCGUGGGGAGCAACAG